GGGGGGGGCUCCUCUUCUUCCUAUAAGGACACUGAUCCCAUCAUGGGUCGUCUACCCUCAUGACCUCAUCUAAACCUAAUUACUUCCCAAACACCCACAUUGGGGGUCAGGGUUGCAACAUAUGAAUUGUGGGGGGGCAUAAACAUUCCAUCUGUAACAACCUGUUUCUGUGGGGUGUCCCAAUCCCAAGGUGGAGAAAACAGCAUUUCUCAAGACACUGCAUGAAGCCACCCUAAUGGACGUCUUCCUUCCAACAUCGCUGAUUAAAUGACUGAAAUGGGGGAGGUCCACACACAAAAAUGGUAACCUAGCCAAAGGCAGCUGGGCAUCUUGUUCCUCUGAAUAUCUAGGCAGUGCCGGAAUCAUCUCACCCUGAAUAGUCCUGUCAUUUCUGGAAGACCCCCGGGGGCCUCUACGAGCCUUUAGACAAGUUCUGUUGCCAUCUGUAUUAACCACCACCCUCCUCCUGUCCAGCACCAAGAAGCCUUCAUGAAAAAGCCGGUAAAGUCCACCUAGAAAACAUGUUUCUGCUCUACCAAGAUCAUUCUAGAAGCAUGAACGUAGCAUGGACGUAGCAUGAACUGGCAUAGGGAAAAGCGGACCAAGACAGCUAGGGAAGGGAAAUCACAAAGAUACAGAAAACGAUGCCUUUGGAGCAUGUUUGGCGAGAAAGGUGAGGCUGCUCUCUGGACAAGCUCUACGUGGGCUGCAGUGCAGCGAUGGAACCAAUCAGCCGUACAUGAGAAAUGUACCUGAAUUUGGGGGAGGGGGUUGCAGGAAAGAGGUGGUGUCACCCCCUUCCCCUGGAGGAACAGUGCUAGAGGAAGCCAGAUAAAACAGAAGGUUUAAAGAGAUCCAAGAUCUCAAAAUAUAAUAUUCAAAAUGUCUAGGUUCCUAUCAAAAAUGAUUCAUCACGUUAAGAAACAGGAGGAUCUCUGAGUGGGGGAAAAAGGUCAAUAGACUCUAACACCAAGAUGACAGAGAAAUUAGAAUUAUCUGACAAAGAUUUUAAAGCAACCGUCAUGAACAUGCUUCAAAAAGCAGUCAUGAACAUGCUUGAAAUGCAUUUAAAAAUAGAAAGCCUCGGCAAAGAAACAGAAGAUAUAAAAAGGAACCAAGUGGAAAUAUUUUAACUAAAAAAACUACAAUAACCAAAAUAAAAAAUUCAAUGGAUGGGCUCAAUCAGAGACCAGAGGAGGAAGAGGAAAGGAAAUCAGUGAACUGAGAGGUGGAACACUAGAAACUACCAAAUCUGAACGAGAGAGCAGAGAGACUAAAAAAGGAAAAUGAACAGAGUUGCAGAAACUAAAGGGAUAGAAAAUAACAUUUAACAUUCAUGCCAUCGUUAAAAAAAUGGACCAGCGACCUUAACAGGCACUUUUACCAAAGAAGCUAUAAAGAUAGCACCUAAGCCUAGAAAAAGAUGUUGCACAUCACAUAUUAUCAAGGAAAUGCAAAUUACACACCAACGAAAUGCCACUGAGACGCCUAUGAGCUUGGUCAAAAUCCGGAACACGGACAAUAACAAAUGCUGGUGAGGAUGUGGCGGCAGAAACUGGCAUUCGCUGUCGGUGGGAAUGGAGAGUGGUGCAGCCAGUUUGUACGACAGCUAUGCGUGUUCUUACAAAACUAAACCUACCCUGACUCGUGAUCCAGAAAUCAUGCCCCUUGGUAUUUGCACAAAGGAAUUAAAAAAUUAUUUCUACGUAAAAACCCACACAUGGGUAUUCAUAGCAACUGAAUUCAUAAUUGCCAGGACUUGGAAGCAACCAAGAGGUCCUUCGGUAGAUAAAUAAAUAAAUAAACCAACUGUGGCACAUCCCAGACAAUGGAAUAGUAUUCAGUGCUAAAAAGACAUGAACUCAAGCCAUGAAAAGACACGGAAGAACUUUAAAUGCAUGUUACGAACUUUAGAAAGCCUACCUGAAAAGGCUGCAGACUAUCUGAUUCCAGCUAUACGACAAAACUAUGGAGACAAUAAGACGGUGGUGGUGGGAAGAAACGAAUAGGCAGAGCUCAGAGGAAUUUUAGGACAGUAAAAAAAAUACUCUGCGUGAUAUUAAAGUGAUGAGUAGAUAUCACUAUCCUUUUGUCCAAGCCCAGGAUGCACAAAAUGGAGAGUGGACACUAGGGUAAACCACAGACUCGGGUGACUACGAUGUGUCAACGCACACGUGGAAAUGUACACAGUGGAAAAAGUGCACCAGCAUGGUGAGUGAUGUUGACAACAGGUGAGACUGUGCAUGUGCGGGGACAGUGGAAAAGAGAAACGUCUGUACCAUCUUCUCAAUGUUUUUGUAAACCUAAAACGGCUCUAAAAAAUAGAGUCUUUAAAACAAAGAAAGAAUGAAGUAGGAAGUACCAGUCUUCAGUGGGUUACACUGCAGCACACCCAUGCCACGAAAUACUCCUCAGCAAUAAAAAGGAACAAAAGACUGACAUAUGUCACGACAUGGAUAAAUCUCCAGAAUUUAUGCUCAGCAAAAAGAGCCAAUUCCAAAAGGUCACAUUCUGUAUAAUUCACCUUAUAUAACAUCAAUUUAAAGCUUAUUUAUUUGUUUUGAGAGAGAGGGCAUGAGCACAUGCACACAUGUGGGGGAGGUGCAGAGGAAAUAGGAGAUGUGUGGAGCCCGAUGUGGGUCUUGAUCCCCCGAACCAUGAUAUCAUGACCUGAUGGGAAAUCAAGAGUCAGACGCUUAACCAAUCGAGCCAGGCAGGCAUCCCUGUAACACUUUGAAAUGACAAAAUUAUAGAAGUGAAGUACAGAUUAUUGGUUGUUUAGGGUUAAAAGGGGGGCAGGAUUUGGAGAGGAAACAGCAUUUUAUUAAAGGGCCACAUAACUGAUGGUGAUGGAGUAGUCUAUAUCUUACUGUAUUGACGUCGAUUCUACGUUUGUGAUACUGUACUGUGGUUUUUCAAGAUCCUCCUGCCUUUGGAAGAGACUGGGAAGAGACAAAUGGAAUCCCUGUGCACUGUUUCUUAUAAGUGCCAGUGAAGCUACGAUUUUCUUUUUUUUUUUUUUUUAAUGUUUAUUUA